rnacentral:misc_RNA from 1 species
GAUGAAGAACGCAGCGAAAUGCGAUAAGUAGUGUGAAUUGCAGAAUUCAGUGAAUCAUCGAAUCUUUGAACGCACAUUGCGCCCCUUGGUAUUCCAUGGGGCAUGCCUGUUCGAGCGUCAUUUGUACCUUCAAGCUCUGCUUGGUGUUGGGUGUUUGUCUCGCCUCUGCGUGUAGACUCGCCUUAAAACAAUUGGCAGCCGGCGUAUUGAUUUCGGAGCGCAGUACAUCUCGCGCUUUGCACCCAUAACGACGACGUCCAAAAGUACAUUUUUACACUCUUGACCUCGGAUCAGGUAGGGAUACCCGCUGAACUUAAGCAUAUCAAUAAGCGGAGGA